UACGUAGGGUCCGAGCGUUGUCCGGAAUUACUGGGCGUAAAGAGCGCGUAGGCGGUUUGUCGCGUUGUUCGUGAAAACUCACAGCUCAACUGUGGGCGUGCGGGCGAUACGGGCAGACUAGAGUACUGCAGGGGAGACUGGAAUUCCUGGUGUAGCGGUGGAAUGCGCAGAUAUCAGGAGGAACACCGGUGGCGAAGGCGGGUCUCUGGGCAGUAACUGACGCUGAGGAGCGAAAGCGUGGGGAGCGAACAGG
rnacentral:rRNA from 1 species